UUUUUUUUUGAUUAAUAAGUGUUGUUAUCGAUUCGUGUCGAAAGUUGUUCUUGAUUUUCAACAUUCUUCCGAGAAUUCAUUUAAUCAUCAUUGCUACAAUAUUUACAAAUUUAAUAUGAAAUGUUGAAGUACUUAAGUAUUUCUUUCUACAAUGGAACAAAUCGACGAUGGCGCACUUGUACCUGUGUCCGAUGUCAAACGUAAAAUACAUCAUUCUUUCCCGACGACAAUCGCGACGUCUUCUCUAUUUUGUUUCUUUAAAUAUCUAUUAUGCGAUUCGCAUAGAUUAUAUUUUACUUUUCUUAAAUUAGUGAAAUUGAAAAUUUAAAUCGACACGAUUUCGAUAAAUCAUUUUUUGACGCUAUAAGAGUAUAAAAGAAUCGUACAUGACUUAAAAUAAAUAAUAAAGAUGAAUAAAAAUAAUAGAUAAAUAGUGAAAAGUUAUUUUCACGCGCGAUGUUUGUAGCGUCGAGAUUUGAACUUGCCGAAAUUAUAUCGAUUUAUAUCAUUUAGGAAAAAUGAUUAGAUUCUCGAUGGAUCAUCGCGGAAAUUAUGCAUUGCACUUGGGCCUUCUUAGUGUUUUAUGCAGCAGUCGAGACAAUUCGUCGUCGGUGAAUUGAUUGCGUUUGGCAUGUAAUUGAAAAUGCCUAUUUAUAAUCGGCAAUUAAUAACAACUUAGCGAUAAUUAAUCCUGAAUGUGUCGAUGUGUAUAAUCUUACAAUAAACGGUAAGCAUCGUCCCGGACAGCUUGUCCUUCCCUUAAAUAUAUUAAGGCGGUGUUAUUAAUGCCUUCUGAUUUUGACAUUUUCGAGUCGAACGCAUCGUAUCUAAACAUUCGUAUAACGUAACUUAUGUUAGAACUGCAUUUGAGAUCUUUGUUAAAUGUUUGGCAUAUGUAAAAGAAUAAAAUUAUAUAAGUUUAAAAAUAAAUAAUAGAGAUUAUUUCAUAUGUAUAUAAGUAAAAAAUUUAUAUAAACAAAUAAUACAAUUUUCCACACGAAUAAUUUUAAUUUUCGUUCGAUUUGAUUAUGGCCAAAAUGAAACUGGAAAAUAUUAAUGACAUUGAAUGUAUUAUAUGUUUCGCCUGGAUUUUAAUCGAUCUCUUUUCCCUCUCACAAAAAGAAUAUGAUCUUUCUUAUUUCUCGCUCAAUAAGGUCCAAAACAUAUCACGACAGGUCCAUUUCGUCUUCCCGUUUCAUUUCCGAUUUUCAACAAAGGAACCAAACAAAAAUACGUCUUAUCUAUACAAAGUAAGACAGCGGGAUAAUAAUUGAGGUCAUUGGGUAAAUCGAGAAUUCACCUUGCGCUUACACAGGCGCAGUACAUGGCUAGCAAAUGGUCAGUAAAUACCAAUGGAGAGAGGCAAAAUCAAUAUUAUCAACAAUGAAGAUCUAAUGACAUUUUUGUAUUUUACUUUUAGACCAUCAGAUCAAUUUUUUUUAUUCUAAAUGUUAUAGUUUGCAUUAGGAACGAUGAAUUAAAGAUUCGUUGCUGACUGCGAUCAGUUUGCGCUGAAAUACGCGAUACAAUUUGUCAAAAAUACGCAAAGCCAAUAAGGAAAUGCAGAUCAGGUUGUUACUCCGAAAUGUUAUCGAUCGAAUGUUUCCGAAAGAAGCACUUUUAGAAAUGAAAAUUUAAAAAAUGUAAAGUAGCAAGUAGAUAAAUAAAACUAUAAGAGUUGUAAUGUAGAUGAGACAUUUCUUUUAAGAUGUUGAAUCCUCGGAAGCACUCUCUUUCUUUUUCUAUCACGUCUUCUUUCAUUUUUCUUAGAUCCUUUGUUGAGAAAGCUAAGCAAAUAUUUUUAGCUGUUUGACUUGUCUCCCUAUCGGUUCUGUAUAUGCUCGAUAUUAGUGCGCAGUCAAUCAAAUUAGUCGAACAUGUAAGCGUUUGUUCGCGCUUCGUGGGGUUCGCUGCGCGAUCAAUCUUUUUCUUGACUUGCAAGAUGACAGACAUAUUGAAUUAUAUAUAUAAAAAAUGAUACAUCUUAAAUACGUCACAAGGAAGCAAAGGCUGAGAAAAAAUAUAUUUUUUAUAUUUCAAUUUAUCUCAAGCAAAGAGAUCUCUCCAUUUUUUCAAACUUAAUUUUCUCGAGAAAGAACACAGAGUUUUGUAAAAAAAGUUUUAUAAUUUCUAUUUAUUUUUUAUUUUGUAUACGAAAUAUAUAAAUUAACAAUUUAUUACGAUAUUUUAUGAUAAUAUUUUUUAUAGUUAUAAUUUUUAUAUUUCUUGAUACGUAUUCUGCACAAUGUUCAUCAAGAGAUUUUUUCGCAAGGAUAUUUGGAUUAAAAAUAUUUUUGAUUAAAAAAUUAAUCGAAUAAAAAUUGGUCGAGCAAAUUAUAAAAAGUUUUAAUCUCGUCGCGAAAGUACCACGAAGUUUAGAUUAGGUUAAAACGGCGGGUAACGGCGUUCACAAAAUUUCUUUAAUCUGGUUUGCCGAUUUCUUCAAGUUUUGAAGAAAAUAGCAACUAGAUCAAUAGGUUAAAGUUAAACGAAGAAUCUGAAGAAAUUGUGAAGAUAAAAUAUUUUCUCUCUGGCAAAUUGAUAACUGCUAGAAAAGAGAGAUUAAGAGAAAUGUUACUAUUUAUUCAAAAUUAUUCGCAUAAUUUCGCACAAAUACACGUAUGUGCGCGAAUGUGAAAGAAAAUAAUGUCAGAGAUUUGAGGAAUUUGUUAUUACUUCAUUUAUCAAGCAAAUCUGUUGAUUAUUGAAAUUUUGAAUUAAAUUAGCGAGACAUGUGUGUGUUGAUUAAAACGAAUAUGAAAGGCGGUUAAUUCUAUAACAGUUUUAUAACUUUUUUUUAGUAAUUCUAUUAUUUUAUAAGAAAGAUUUAACGAUAAGAAAUUGCAAGAGCUUUUGUAUGCUCUUGUAAAAUUUUAUGACAAAUGAGAUUAGGGUUGUGCGACCGACCGCCCGCUGCUGUCGAAAGUCUAUUGGACCACUCUAUAUAAUAUGUGCUCUAUACCUAUAUUUUUCUAGACAGGCCCACGGUUUUGGUCUGCAGAGUGUUAUUUACACGCCUACAUCUUACGUACCUAUCUAUCGUUUACGAUUGACCUAUCGCGAACUCCUGAGAGAAAGGUCGGAGUCUGUUCAAAUUCAUAUCAGUAUGAUGUUCACGAUCAAAGACCUCGACGUUCCUUUUACGUUUUUACACAAGCGCGUUUAUGAUUGAUGAUGAACACGAUUGGAUAAGGUGAAACUUGUACGUUCGUUUAAAAGGAAACUAAAAAAGGCGGACAUAAAUCUUAUUUCUCUCUUUACCUCUAGAAAUCUUGCAUAAUUAAAAAAAUUCGAAUAUAUCAAAUUAUGCUAAUUUCUCCUCAAAAAUAUCAAAAUUUAAUUAAAUAUAUUUAAUUAAGCUUUAAUUAAGCAUUUUUAGUCUUUGAUCUAAAAAUGUCAAAAAAGGUAUCAUUUUAUAUCAAAAUAUGAAAUAAAUAAAAAUAAAUUUCGAGUUAAAAUUUUGUUAAAGAAAAAUCAUAUAUGUAUAUAUAUACAUAUAUAUAAUAUAUAUACAUAUAUACAUAUUCCAUAUAUAUUGUAUAUAUGUAUAUAUAUAGAAAUUUUUUCCUGGCUUUAACGUUUGUGAAUGGCAAGUUAUUAAUAAUGUUCAUUAGUAAUCCUUUUUAAACUAAUUAUAUAAUGCUAAUUAUAUUAUCCAAUGUUUAUAUAGAAAUCGAUGGCCGUCUUCCACUUCAAUAUCUAAUGAUCGUACUCGUUAAAUGCUUUGAACCAUUAAUUAUAAAGCUAUACAUACAAUGUGUAAAUUGUAGUUGUGCAUUAAUAAAAGUAGCGGAUUUCUGCUUUCUUAUAUAUUAAUGACAGAAAACUGAUACCAUAAAAAUUAAUUAAUUCAUUGUUGAUUAAUGAUAAAUAAAAUUAUUAACAUGGCAUUAUACAUGUUAUCUUUUACAACUUGGAUUUUAUUAACAGUAUGUUAAAAAAUAUGUGACAUCUUUAGAAAGACCAUUAAUUGAAAAUUCUUCGAGAAAGAUAUUCAAUAUCGUUAAUAUGAUCGCAUAUAAAAGCAUUUUAUUACCAUUCUAUUAUGGUUUUUAUGUCAAUAGCUAUAAUAAAAUUUUCUCUAUAUUCAAACGUAUAUUUAUAUAAAAAGAAAAAAAAAAUGUUUAAUAAAACGUUUAAUAAAAACGCAUUUUUAACGCGUGAAAUAAAAUUUAAAGAGAUAAAUCGUUCAUUUGAUACGGUUGCAAAGACGUAUUAUAUUGUACUAAAUGCACAUAAUUUUAUUUAUAUAUCAAUUGACUAAUAAUUGCAUAAUGUAAUCAUUUUUUUAUAGGUUUGUUAAAAAUAUUAUUAUUGUUAUUAAUGUUAAGAUAUACAUGAAAUAGUUUAUUUACAUAUUGACCAAGCAUUGUGCGCUAAUUAUUGGUUGGUGAACAGUAUUUUCGAUCGUCCUCUCUCAUGAGUUGUACGAAAUUUUGGCGCGCGUUAUAAUAUAGAUAUAAGAUGUAAAUGCGCGUCUGUGUGCGUGUAUGCGUGUACGUGCGUAUAUGUCUACGUUUAAAUACGUAACCAGAUGUAUAUUGUAUAUUCGUCUCGCGCUGGUCGACGCGGCGAUGUAUUACUCGUAAUAAAAAAAGAUUCAAUAAAUGUGUGUUUAAUUAUGAAACAUUACGCACUUUAAUUUUCAUAAUUAAAUAUGUGUUCAAUU